UCCUUUGAGCAAUUGGUUUAUUUAGAUCAUCAAAUGGCUCAAGGUUUAGGGAUGACUCACCAAAUGGAGAAGAGAAAGAUUUAUGACACUGAGUAGGCUGCACAAUGGCUUUUUUUGCUUUUGUUUUGUUUCUUCUUGAGUAUCUCCUUAAAUCUAGUUUAUCCAAACGUCCAACUUAAUCACCAAUAGUCUCCCCCUAUAUAGUAGUCUCCUAAUCAACAAUAAUAUUCCCCUGUAUAGGCUUUUAAAGGCAAGGGUUUUGAGAGGCAUUCUAUUAAUAAGAUAAGCUGCGGCUAAGACUGCAUCUCCCCAAUAGGUUUUUGGAAGAUUCAUGGUGAAAAAGAGAGAUCGGGCUACUUCCAAUAGGUGUAUUUUUUCUUUCAAUAACACAAUUUUGAGCACUAGCGUAAAGACAACUAGUUUGAUGCAGUAUCCCAUUAGAUUUUAGAUAAGUACAAAAAUGGCCAUCCAUGCACUCUGUACUAUUAUUGGUUCUCAAAACUUUUAUCUUAGCAUCAAAUUGAGUACAAAUUAUCUUGUGAAAAAAUU